UACGUAGGUGGCAAGCGUUGUUCGGAAUUAUUGGGCGUAAAGGGCGCGUAGGCGGUUUGUUAAGUCAGCUGUGAAAGCCCGGGGCUCAACCCCGGAGAGUCGACUGAUACUGGCAGACUAGAGUACGGAAGAGGUAGCUGGAAUUCCCGGUGCAGCGGUGAAAUGCGUAGAUAUCGGGAGGAACACCUGAGGCGAAGGCGGGCUACUGGGCCGAUACUGACGCUGAUGCGCGAAAGCCAGGGGAGCAAACGGG
rnacentral:rRNA from 1 species